UAGGGAAUCUUCGGCAAUGGGGGGAACCCUGACCGAGCAACGCCGCGUGAGUGAAGAAGGUUUUCGGAUCGUAAAGCUCUGUUGUUAAGGAAGAACGAGUGUGAGAAUGGAAAGUUCAUGCUUUGACGGUACUUAACCAGAAAGGGACGGCUAACUACGUGCCAGCAGCCGCGGUAAUACGUAGGUCCCGAGCGUUGUCCGGAUUUAUUGGGCGUAAAGCGAGCGCAGGCGGUCAAUUAAGUCUGAUGUGAAAGCCCCCGGCUCAACCGGGGAGGGUCAUUGGAAACUGGUUUACUUGAGUGCAGAAGAGGAGAGUGGAAUUCCAUGUGUAGCGGUGAAAUGCGUAGAUAUAUGGAGGAACACCAGUGGCGAAGGCGACUCUCUGGUCUGUAACUGACGCUGAGGCUCGAAAGCGUGGGUAGCAAACAGG
rnacentral:rRNA from 1 species